AGGAGGCUCACGGGUAUAAAAAAAUCAGCAAAAAAUUACACAUUUGUUUUUUUAUUACAAAUUUAUUAUUACAUAUUAGUUAUAACAUAAAUAGUACAAAAAUCCCGGACAAAUCAAUUUGGUUUGGCCACAGAUGACAUUAAAAAUGUUAUAUCAUUGAAAAAGCUCCAAAUUAUCUCCCUUUGGUGCAAAAAUGUAAUUUUUUGACAUUUAAAUUAAAAUAUCUUUUUUAACUCAUUGGUGACCUAUACUUUUUAUUAUUGUUUUGAAACAGGCUGUACAUAUAAACUAAAUAUUGUAAAAUUUAAGCGAUUUCUGUAAAGUUCUUUUUUUAUUUCGAUAUUAUCAAUAUUUCUCCUAUUAGUUCAACACAAAAUAAAGGGCUGCGCUUUAGCGCAUGAUACGCCCGUUGCUCUUUUAACUUGUCUUUUAUGCUUUAAAUGAAUUUAUAUGAUCACUAGAAUAUAUAUACAAAUCAAAAGGAUGUUACAUUAAUAUAUUCACCAAAGUUUCAUAAAAUCCUCCUUUUUUAAGUAUAAAAAUUCAUUACUUA
rnacentral:lncRNA from 1 species